GCAUCUUGAAAAAGAGGGUUGGGAAAAAAUGUAUUGGGAAAUGAGAGAGAGACGAUUAAAAAAUUAUAAAUGGGUUAGAGGUAUUUUGCUUUGAUUCUGUUAUGAAAGGGUAAAAAAUUGAUUCUAUUUUGUCCCUUAAGUUGCUUAGUUCUUUUAGAUGAUGCAAAAAAUUAGUAAUUUUUUUCAAAUAGACUGUCUUUUUCUGUUAAAUUUUUGCUGUUUUUUUUAAUAUCUAUUACUGAUGAUGAACACCAAAAUGCUAUAGAGAAAACAUAGAAGAUAAGAAUUUUGCAGAGAUUAGAAGAGAAGAGACAAUGGAAGAGAAAGAAGAAAGACUAAGGAGUGGGCUAGUGGAGAGAGAAGACAAAACACUUUUAUUUUAUUUUUUAAAAAAGUAAUAAUUUUUAUGUGUUGUCAAAAUUUGAAUGGGUGUGCCUAAAAGACAUGUGUUGGGUAUGUGCCCAACUAAGCUUUUCUCUGCAUGUAUAAAUAAGUAGCACAACUUGUCUUUACACAAAAUAAAGUGACAUAUAUAUGGUGAUCAAUAAUACGAGUUACUUUUUUUGUUUUCUUUUUU
rnacentral:lncRNA from 1 species